rnacentral:rRNA from 1 species
ACGUAGGGCGCAAGCGUUGUCCGGAAUUAUUGGGCGUAAAGAGCUCGUAGGCGGUCUGUCGCGUCGGAUGUGAAAGCCCGGGGCUUAACCCCGGGUCUGCAUUCGAUACGGGCAGACUAGAGUGUGGUAGGGGAGAUCGGAAUUCCUGGUGUAGCGGUGAAAUGCGCAGAUAUCAGGAGGAACACCGGUGGCGAAGGCGGAUCUCUGGGCCAUUACUGACGCUGAGGAGCGAAAGCGUGGGGAGCGAACAGG